UACGAAGGGGGCUAGCGUUGCUCGGAAUUACUGGGCGUAAAGCGCACGUAGGCGGAUUGUUAAGUCGGGGGUGAAAUCCUGGAGCUCAACUCCAGAACUGCCUUCGAAACUGGCGAUCUUGAGUCCGGGAGAGGUGAGUGGAACUGCGAGUGUAGAGGUGAAAUUCGUAGAUAUUCGCAAGAACACCAGUGGCGAAGGCGGCUCACUGGCCCGGUACUGGCGCUGAGGUGCGAAAGCGUGGGGAGCAAACAGG
rnacentral:rRNA from 1 species